rnacentral:RNase_P_RNA from 1 species
CUUGCCGCUGGCGGCCCAUUGUGGCGCGAGAGGAAAGUCCGGGCAGCACAGGGCGCCCCACUUCCGAAAAUAGAAGCUACCGGCGACGGUAGGUAAGGGUAGAAGAAAAUGACCGCCACCCGUCUUAUGUUUGUUGUUACUUUUCGCUUCAAACGGGUUGGUAAGGGUGAGAAGGUGGUGUAAGAGACCACCAGGCGGCGGGUGAUCGUCGCGCUGUACCCCCUGGGGGCUGCAAGUUCAAGUAAACCGGUCCGAAAGAGGAUGGCCCGUCCGAGGCGACGAAGGUUUGAGCAGCGAUGCAAUAGAGCCGGGGCUCGCGCGGCGGAGGGUAGAACGCUUGAGCCGUGGGGUGACUCACGGCGUAGAUAAAUGGCAGGCACUGCCCGCAAGGGCAGUACAGAACCCGGCUUAUAGGAA